GCCUAAAGCGUCCGUAGCCUGUUCUAUAAGUUUCCGGUUAAAUCCAUUAGCUCAACUAAUGGGCCGCCGAAAAUACUGUAGAACUAGGGAGUGGGAGAGGUAGACGGUAUUCGGUAGGAAGGGGUAAAAUCCUUUGAUCUAUUGAGGACCACCUGUGGCGAAGGCGGUCUACCAGAACACGUUCGACGGUGAGGGAUGAAAGCUGGGGGAGCAAACCGGAUUAGAUACCCGGGUAGUCCCAGCUGUAAACUAUGCAAACUCAGUGAUGCAUUGGCUUGUGGCCAGUGCAGUGCCGCAGAGAAGUCGUUAAGUUUGCCGCCUGGGAAGUACGUACGCAAGUAUGAAACUUAAAGGAAUUGGCGGGGGAGCACCACAAGGGGUGAAGCCUGCGGUUCAAUUGGAGUCAACGCCAGAAAUCUUACCCGGAGAGACAGCAGAAUGAAGGUCAAGCUGAAGACUUUACCAGACAAGCUGAGAAGUGGUGCAUGGCCGUCGCCAGCUCGUGCCGUGAGGUGUCCUGUUAAGUCAGGUAACGAGCGAGAUCCCUACCUCUAGUUGCCACCAUUACUCUCAGGAGUAGUGGGGCGAAUUAGCGGGACUGCCGCAGUUAAUGCGGAGGAAGGAGGGGGCCACGGCAGGUCAGUAUGCCCCGAA
rnacentral:rRNA from 1 species